GGCCUAGAUAAUCAGAGAAGCGACAACUCUACCCCCACCUAGAGUCCUAUACCCCCACCAUGGUUCCCAUCGGGCCCGCAGCUGAUCGCUUGUGAAAAAACUAACCUCUGAAGCGUCGUCUACAAUACGCGGAGUAAAAAAUAAGAGUAGGCGUAAGAAGUGAGAAGAACCAGUUCAUGAAAUAAAAAUGGAAAAACAAUGUAACGAGACUGAUACUACUUCUGUUCAAGUAUCAAAUGAAUAUUCUGCAAAGAUUCGUGCUAUUGAAGAGAGACAUUCAAUCCCUUUUCUACUUUUCAAAACAGAAUGUUAUACAAUUGAGGAACUGAAAUUGCAGUGUAGCAAAGCAUCA